rnacentral:rRNA from 1 species
AUUGAACGCUGGCGGCAGGCCUAACACAUGCAAGUCGAGCGAGCGGCGGACGGGUGAGUAAUGCCUGUGAAUUGCCCAGUCGUGGGGAAUAACAGUUGGAAACGCCUACUCAUACCGCAUACGAUUGGAUCGCACAUGUGGGAUUAGCUAGUUGGUGAGGUAAGGGCUCACCAAGGCGACGAUCCCUAGCUGGUCUGAGAGGAUGAUCAGCCACACUGGAACUGAGACACGGCCCAGACUCCUACGGGAGGCAGCAGUGGGGAAUAUUGCACAAUGGGCGAAACCCUGAUGCAGCCAUGCCGCGUGUGUGAAGAAGGCCUUCGGGUUGUAAAGCACUUUCAGCGAGGAGGCGUUACUCGCAGAAGAAGCACCGGCUAACUCCGUGCCAGCAGCCGCGGUAAUUC